rnacentral:lncRNA from 1 species
CGGAAGAGCUCGCUCAAGCUGAAACUCCUCCAGGCUUUUUUGGAGCAAGUCAGACAGGCUACUUCAGCUAAGUAUCAAAAGCAGAUGCCUGCAAGGAAGGACAUUUAUCCUGUGCAGAAGAAACAUACUUAUUAUGCGCAUUGGCUGAACAUGAAAGAAACAUGCAGCUAAGCAGAAUUCAAAGUCACUGGCAGAAAAUAAGGCAGCAAAAUCAGAUGAAGGCAAUUGGAGAAACUAUAAAGGUGUAAGCAAUGGACGGAAUAGUAAUGAAGGAAUUAGAUAAAAGAUGGGGAAUAGGUAUCACUUUGAAGAGUAAAAGGUAAGCAAARCAAAAUGCCCAGUAAAUGUCCCAGUGACAGUAUCCCAGCAACAAUAAAUUCUGCUUGUGAUAGAUCA